UGCCAGCAGCCGCGGUAAUACGAGAGGUGCAAACGUUAUUCGGAAUUAUUGGGCGUAAAGGGUGCGUAGGCGGCAUUUUAAGUCUGUUGUUUAAUCCUCCGGCCUAACCGGAGAGCAGCGAUAGAUACUGAUAUGCUAGAGAUAGGAAGAGAGAAGUGGAAUUCUCGGAGUAGCGGUAAAAUGCGUAGAUCUCGAGAGGAACACCAAUGGCGAAGGCAGCUUCUUGGUCCUUUUCUGACGCUGAGGCACGAAAGCGUGGGUAGCAAACAGGAUUAGAUA
rnacentral:rRNA from 1 species